AUUGAACGCUGGCGGCAUGCCUUACACAUGCAAGUCGAACGGCAGCACGGGUGCUUGCACCUGGUGGCGAGUGGCGAACGGGUGAGUAAUACAUCGGAACAUGUCCUGUAGUGGGGGAUAGCCCGGCGAAAGCCGGAUUAAUACCGCAUACGAUCUACGGAUGAAAGCGGGGGACCUUCGGGCCUCGCGCUAUAGGGUUGGCCGAUGGCUGAUUAGCUAGUUGGUGGGGUAAAGGCCUACCAAGGCGACGAUCAGUAGCUGGUCUGAGAGGACGACCAGCCACACUGGGACUGAGACACGGCCCAGACUCCACGGGAGGCAGCAGUGGGGAAUUUUGGACAAUGGGCGAAAGCCUGAUCCAGCAAUGCCGCGUGUGUGAAGAAGGCCUUCGGGUUGUAAAGCACUUUUGUCCGGAAAGAAAUCCUUGGCCCUAAUACGGUCGGGGGAUGACGGUACCGGAAGAAUAAGCACCGGCUAACUACGUG
rnacentral:rRNA from 1 species